UUAGUCGAAGUCAGUGAUCCCAUGCUGCCAAGAAAAGCCUCUAGCGAGCUUCGAGCGGCCCGUACCCCAAACCGACACAGGUGGUCAGGUAGAGAAUACCGAGGCGAUCGGGCGAACUGUGGUUAAGGAACUCGGCAAAUUACCCCCGUAACUUCGGGAGAAGGGGGGCCACAGACCGUGAAACCCCAUGCGGGUGGCAGCGGUAGGUGGCCGCAGAGACCAGGGGGAAGCGACUGUUACUAAAAACACAGGUCCGUGCGAAGUCGUAAGACGAUGUAUACGGACUGACGCCUGCCCGGUGCUGGAACGUUAAGGGGACCGGUUAGUCAGCAAGGGCGAAGCUGAGAACUUAAGCGCCAGUAAACGGCGGUGGUAACUAUAACCAUCCUAAGGUAGCGAAAUUCCUUGUCGGGUAAGUUCCGACCUGCACGAAUGGCGUAACGACUUCCCUACUGUCUCAACCACAGGCCCGGCGAAAUUGCACUACGAGUAAAGAUGCUCGUUACGCGCGGAAGGACGGAAAGACCCCGGGACCUUCACUAUAGCUUGACAUUGGUACUCGAAUUGAAUUGUGUAGGAUAGGUGGGAGACUAUGAAGCUCGGACGCCAGUCCGGGUGGAGUCAACGUUGAAAUACCACUCUGUUGAAUUUGGGUAUCUAACUUCGGACCGUGAUCCGGUUCAGGGACAGUGUCUGGUGGGUAGUUUAACUGGGGCGGUUGCCUCCUAAAAUGUAACGGAGGCGCCCAAAGGUUCCCUCAGCCUGGUUGGCAAUCAGGUGUUGAGUGCAAGUGCACAAGGGAGCUUGACUGUGAGACUGACAGGUCGAGCAGGGACGAAAGUCGGGACUAGUGAUCCGGCACCGGCGAGUGGAAGCGGUGUCGCUCAACGGAUAAAAGGUACCCCGGGGAUAACAGGCUGAUCUUCCCCAAGAGUCCAUAUCGACGGGAUGGUUUGGCACCUCGAUGUCGGCUCGUCGCAUCCUGGGGCUGGAGUAGGUCCCAAGGGUUGGGCUGUUCGCCCAUUAAAGCGGCACGCGAGCUGGGUUUAGAACGUCGUGAGACAGUUCGGUCCCUAUCCUCCGCGCGCGCAGGAGACUUGAGAAGAGCUGUCCCUAGUACGAGAGGACCGGGACGGACGAACCUCUGGUGUGCCAGUUGUCAUGCCAAUGGCACGGCUGGUUAGCUACGUUCGGAAGGGAUAACCGCUGAAAGCAUCUAAGCGGGAAGCCUGCUUCAAGAUGAGGUCUCCCACCCCCUCGAGGGUUAAGGCCCCCAGCAAGACCACUGGGUUGAUAGGCCAGAAGUGUAAGCCUGGUAACAGGUUCAGCCGACUGGUACUAAUAGGCCGAGGACUUC
rnacentral:rRNA from 1 species